UCCGGAUUGGUGUAGGGGUUAACAUUGCCGCCUCUCAUUCGUGGCUGUGCAAGCAGCACGUGACAAUCGCGGCAGCCCGGGGUUCGAUUCCCCGAUCCGGAA